rfam:Bombyx mori DNA, contig: Bm_scaf63_contig29478, strain: p50T/Dazao, build 2, whole genome shotgun sequence.
UUAACUCAAAUUUGUAUGGAGUUGGAACGUUUGCCUAUGUUUGCCGCUAGGGGCGCUGUUCCAACUGCAUACAAAGCACACAGA